rnacentral:rRNA from 1 species
UACGGAGGGGGCUAGCGUUGUUCGGAAUUACUGGGCGUAAAGCGCACGUAGGCGGCUUCUCAAGUCAGGGGUGAAAGCCCAGAGCUCAACUCUGGAAUUGCCUUUGAGACUGAGUGGCUUGAGUACGAGAGAGGUGAGUGGAAUUCCCAGUGUAGAGGUGAAAUUCGUAGAUAUUGGGAAGAACACCGGUGGCGAAGGCGGCUCACUGGCUCGUAACUGACGCUCAUGCACGACAGCGUGGGGAUCAAACAGG